GAUGAACGCUGGCGGCGUGCCUAAUACAUGCAAGUCGAGCGAACAGACGAUGCGCUUGCUCCUCUCACGUUAGCGGCGGACGUGUGAGUCACACGUGGAUAAUCUACUUAUCAGACUGGGAUAACUUCGGGAAACCGGAGCUAAUCCCGGAUAAUAUAUUGAACCGCGUGGUGCAAUAGUGAGAGACGGUGUUGCUGUCACUUAUAGAUGGAUCCCGGCCGCAUUAGCUAGUUGGUAAGGUAACGGCUUACCAAGGCAACGAUGCGUAGCCGACCGGAGAGGCUGGUCGGCCGCACGGGAGCUGAGCCAGCGUCCAGACUCCUACGGGAGGCAGCAGAAGGGAAUCUGACGCAAUGGGCGAAAGCCUGACGCAGCAACGCCGCGUGAGUGGUGAAGGUCCUCGGAUCGUGAAGCCGUGCUAUUAGGGAUGAACCAAUGUGGAAGUAACUAUGGACGUCGUGACGGUACCUAGUAAGAAAGCCACGGCUAACUACGUG
rnacentral:rRNA from 1 species